rnacentral:rRNA from 1 species
AUAAUGGGUCAGCGACUUAUAUUCUGUAGCAAGGUUAACCGAAUAGGGGAGCCGAAGGGAAACCGAGUCUUAACUGGGCGUUAAGUUGCAGGGUAUAGACCCGAAACCCGGUGAUCUAGCCAUGGGCAGGUUGAAGGUUGGGUAACACUAACUGGAGGACCGAACCGACUAAUGUUGAAAAAUUAGCGGAUGACUUGUGGCUGGGGGUGAAAGGCCAAUCAAACCGGGAGAUAGCUGGUUCUCCCCGAAAGCUAUUUAGGUAGCGCCUCGUGAAUUCAUCUCCGGGGGUAGAGCACUGUUUCGGCAAGGGGGUCAUCCCGACUUACCAACCCGAUGCAAACUGCGAAUACCGGAGAAUGUUAUCACGGGAGACACACGGCGGGUGCUAACGUCCGUCGUGAAGAGGGAAACAACCCAGACCGCCAGCUAAGGUCCCAAAGUCAUGGUUAAGUGGGAAACGAUGUGGGAAGGCCCAGACAGCCAGGAUGUUGGCUUAGAAGCAGCCAUCAUUUAAAGAAAGCGUAAUAGCUCACUGGUCGAGUCGGCCUGCGCGGAAGAUGUAACGGGGCUAAACCAUGCACCGAAGCUGCGGCAGCGACGCUGAUGCGUUGUUGGGUAGGGGAGCGUUCUGUAAGCCUGCGAAGGUGUGCUGUGAGGCAUGCUGGAGGUAUCAGAAGUGCGAAUGCUGACAUAAGUAACGAUAAAGCGGGUGAAAAGCCCGCUCGCCGGAAGACCAAGGGUUCCUGUCCAACGUUAAUCGGGGCAGGGUGAGUCGACCCCUAAGGCGAGGCCGAAAGGCGUAGUCGAUGGGAAACAGGUUAAUAUUCCUGUACUUGGUGUUACUGCGAAGGGGGGACGGAGAAGGCUAUGUUGGCCGGGCGACGGUUGUCCCGGUUUAAGCGU